GGCCGCGUAGUGUAGUGGUUAGCACGCAGGAUUUGUAAGUUCCUUUACAAAACGCAGAUUAUUAAUAAUUGGACCUAACAUUUCGCAGUGAUAAAACAUUAUAUAUUCCUGAGACCUGAGUUCAAUCCUCGGCGGGGCCU